AUUGAACGCUGGCGGCAGGCCUAACACAUGCAAGUCGAGCGAGUGGCGGACGGGUGAGUAAUGUCUGGGAAACUGCCUGAUGGAGGGGGAUAACUACUGGAAACGGUAGCUAAUACCGCAUACCAUCAGAUGUGCCCAGAUGGGAUUAGCUAGUUGGUGGGGUAACGGCUCACCAAGGCGACGAUCCCUAGCUGGUCUGAGAGGAUGACCAGCCACACUGGAACUGAGACACGGUCCAGACUCCUACGGGAGGCAGCAGUGGGGAAUAUUGGACAAUGGGCGCAAGCCUGAUGCAGCCAUGCCGCGUGUGUGAAGAAGGCCUUCGGGUUGUAAAGCACUUUCAGCGGGGAGGCGUUACUCGCAGAAGAAGCACCGGCUAACUCCGUGCCAGCAGCCGCGGUAAUUC
rnacentral:rRNA from 1 species